UGUGUGUGUGUGUGUGUGUGUGUGUGUACAUGUGUGUGUGUGUGUACAUGUGUGUGUACAUGUGUGUGUACAUGUGUGUGUACAUGUGUGUGUACAUGUGUGUGUACAUGUGUGUGUACAUGUGUGUGUACAUGUGUGUACCUGUGUGUACAUGUGUGUACAUGUGUGUGUGUGUGUUGAGGUGGGCAUGGUGUGGCUGUGUGGGCGAGGAGGAGCACAGCGCUUCCAUCCGGCACUUGUGAGACAUGUCACAAUUUAUCAUCAUUUUAUCGCGGCAGGCAGUCCUAUGCAUGAGCAAUUCAUGGCGGUGCGCAUGGCGUGGAAUGGAGUGAAUUGAUGUUGUCAGGGGGCUGGUUGCAAUGGCCGAUACCGGUACCUGUGGUCCUGUGCGUCUCUGCGUGUCCUGUACAGUGUAUUCCCCCAAAUGGAUAGGGAGGGCAUGGUUGCAGGCCUGGCCAGAUCAGGUGUCUGGGUUUUAUCCCUCGCCUGCGUGUGCGUGCUUGUAUCUAACUGUACCACUUCAAUUAGGUCAAGGUUACCUGGCCCCUGUAGAGACGUGGAGGCUCAGACAAUAAGACAAUUGGUCUUAGCUCAAUGCAAACAGUGCAAAGAUUGAUUACAUUUGCUGAGUCUGCUUGUGGACAGAGAGAUGUGCGGUGUGAGGACUGUCGGCAGGAGCAUUGAUAGUAUGACAGUGGAGCGUGAAGAGGGAGAGGGACGGAGGGAGGCUGCGUGGUGCUGGCAGAGGGACGGAGGACGAGGUGGGCACCAUGCGGCCUUUGCAAUGCAUUCAAAGCUUCGCCCAAAGCCUUAACUUAUCAGGAUACCGUAUUGCUUGAAGCAGGAGUGCCGUCGCUGGUCACGCAACUUAAGAGAACUGCAGGGAAACAAGCAUCGAACCGGGGGUCGUGAUGGAGGCAUAGAUUUUGCUCUUGCGGCUCCUCGGGCGCCUGGUACACAGGGACACUUUAUCAGUGCACGAUAGCUAUAAGACGAAACAAUAUGGUGGUUUGCCUCGGUGCAGAGAACAGCAGUGCUGACAACUGAGCGCUCCCAAUUGUUGCCUUCUCUCCUACUGGAACUAUGACCGAGCCAAGCACCAGUGGCAAGCGCCAUAGAGAGGAUGAAGGUGUUGGAAACCUCGGCUGGCUGGCGAGCAGCGGUAUGCUGCCUCGCAAGCGGCAAGACAUUUCGGGAGUCGGCAAUGCGAGCAUUAUGGAGCUACAAGCACAACUUUAUCGCACGCAAGAAAAUGUGAAAUUGAAAGCAAGUGGCGUCGAGGUCCCCGACCGGCGAACUUCGGGGUUCAACGUCGCAUCGCUUAUGCAGCGACGAAACACGGGCGUGGAAGAGCGCGAUCGACGGGACAAGCUUGAAGUCAAGGUGAGGCGGGGUCUGGGAGUCCGCAAAUGCGACGUAGGGGCGGUGCUACGCUUGACGCGGACACUGGCCUCAGCAGUUCUGGACGACGCCCCGCGCGGUUUCCCCUCCACGCCCCUCCCGCACAGACCACCGCUGACCGCGUCGGGGAGUGUUACGCCGCGCUAGAGCGCAAGGCGCAACUAUACGAGAAACUAGGUAGGCGCUGCGACUGCUGCAGCCGUGCGCCGUGAACAAUGCCACACGGCACCACUGCCAUCCCUACCCCGCCAUUCCACCACGGCCACGUUGCACACCCCUCGCCGUCGAUGUAUGCGGACUCGCACAGGCUGUCCAGCUCGCCAUCUUCCACACGGCUACCAUAUGCCUGUACAAACUCCCUCGACCCUUUGCCAGCCCUAUCUACCCAUUGAUCGCUGUGCUUCUGCUCGACCGCUGUUCCGCUGCUGUUGCUGCUGCUGCUGCUACUGCUGCUGCUGCCGCAGCUCGCGGCGAGUUGGACGACGAGGGCGAGCAGUACGAGGUGGACUUCCUGCGCAAGGGCGGGGCGGCGGAGGAGGAGGCGGGUGGAGGCGAGGGCCGGCGCGGCGGCGACCUGGUGGACACCAUGCUGCAGGCAGUGUCGGGGACAGGUGAGGCGGGGGCGGAUGGGGGCAAGGAGUCCACGGGCCUUGUAGUCGGACUGCCCGAGCCGCCACCCUGACGGAGAGGGUCAACAAGUGUGUGCUGCGGCUGACCUGUCGGCAGAGCGUGUUGCUGCUGUUCGGCGCUCGGCCCGCGGGAUCUCACCACCCUCAGCCCCCGCCGCUGCUCGGCUGCAACCAUUGAGGCAGGACAGCAAGGGUUUAGGCAGGGUAGUAUGGACUGAGGCAGGGUAAUGCGGACUGGGCAAGGCAACCACCCGACACAUAGCGUGUCCCGGUCUAUUGUAUUCUUCUCUUGUGCGGAGACCGCACGUCUGAACCGCUCCUACUCCGCGCUGCACUUGCGCUCCUGACCACCUCCUGGCCACCUGUCGGCAUGCGGCCCCGCACACAGGCGGCAUGAUGACUGCGGACAUGGCGCGGGAACGGGAGCGGCGCGACUGGGAGCGGGACCAGCAGCGCAUCAUGGCGGACGAGGAGGCGGAGGAGCGGAGGCGGAAGCAGAAAGAGGUGCGUCCAACACAAGCGGAGGUCGGGGACCAAUGGCACCAUUGUUGUAUGCUGUUUAACCCGGGUUACCCUAUGCCGGCGAUGCUGCCUGUGAGCAGUUGAUAAGCAGUGCCUAACCUGCGGUGGCACGUCGUCGCAUGCGGUUUGCACAGGCGCUGCUUUGGCUUGUGGGGGCUGUCGGUGGAGGCGCUGCUGCCCGAGGUGACGGUGCCGGUGCCUGAGGUCCUGCGCAGCCGCAGCGAGUGGUGCACCACCUACCUGGAUGAGGACAUGCGGGUGGGGCGCGGCAGCGGCGGCGCGCUGUUCCUGUUCCGGCGCGGCGGCGCGGACGACGUCACCGAGGCGGCGGGCGCCAUGGGCGGCAGCCUGGGUGCGGGCUCCGGCAUGGGCAUGGGCUUGGGCGUGGGCUUGGGCGCGGUGGCUGCGGAUGCCCGCGCGCCGGUGAUGCGGCCGCUGUGAGGCGCGUGGGAGGAGGGGCGGGUGGCAGGAGGGAAGUGGAGCCUGGCGGCCGGCGCCGCGGGUGUGUAGCGGUGUGCCCGUGUGUGUGCGGGUGCGUGUACGUGUACGUGUACGUGUACGUGUACGUGUACGUGUACGUGUACGUGUACGUGUACGUGUGUGUGUGUGUGUGUGUGUGUGUGUACAUGUGUGUGUGUCUACAUGUGUGUGUACAUGUGUGUGUACAUGUGUGUGUACAUGUGUGUACCUGUGUGUACAUGUGUGUACAUGUGUGUGUGUGUGUUGAGGUGGGCAUGGUGUGGCUGUGUGGGCGAGGAGGAGCACAGCGCUUCCAUCCGGCACUUGUGAGACAUGUCACAAUUUAUCAUCAUUUUAUCGCGGCAGGCAGUCCUAUGCAUGAGCAAUUCAUGGCGGUGCGCAUGGCGUGGAAUGGAGUGAAUUGAUGUUGUCAGGGGGCUGGUUGCAAUGGCCGAUACCGGUACCUGUGGUCCUGUGCGUCUCUGCGUGUCCUGUACAGUGUAUUCCCCCAAAUGGAUAGGGAGGGCAUGGUUGCAGGCCUGGCCAGAUCAGGUGUCUGGGUUUUAUCCCUCGCCUGCGUGUGCGUGCUUGUAUCUAACUGUACCACUUNNNNNNNNNNNNNNNNNNNNNNNNNNNNNNNNNNNNNNNNNNNNNNNNNNNNNNNNNNNNNNNNNNNNNNNNNNNNNNNNNNNNNNNNNNNNNNNNNNNNACGCGGACACUGGCCUCAGCAGUUCUGGACGACGCCCCGCGCGGUUUCCCCUCCACGCCCCUCCCGCACAGACCACCGCUGACCGCGUCGGGGAGUGUUACGCCGCGCUAGAGCGCAAGGCGCAACUAUACGAGAAACUAGGUAGGCGCUGCGACUGCUGCAGCCGUGCGCCGUGAACAAUGCCACACGGCACCACUGCCAUCCCUACCCCGCCAUUCCACCACGGCCACGUUGCACACCCCUCGCCGUCGAUGUAUGCGGACUCGCACAGGCUGUCCAGCUCGCCAUCUUCCACACGGCUACCAUAUGCCUGUACAAACUCCCUCGACCCUUUGCCAGCCCUAUCUACCCAUUGAUCGCUGUGCUUCUGCUCGACCGCUGUUCCGCUGCUGUUGCUGCUGCUGCUGCUACUGCUGCUGCUGCCGCAGCUCGCGGCGAGUUGGACGACGAGGGCGAGCAGUACGAGGUGGACUUCCUGCGCAAGGGCGGGGCGGCGGAGGAGGAGGCGGGUGGAGGCGAGGGCCGGCGCGGCGGCGACCUGGUGGACACCAUGCUGCAGGCAGUGUCGGGGACAGGUGAGGCGGGGGCGGAUGGGGGCAAGGAGUCCACGGGCCUUGUAGUCGGACUGCCCGAGCCGCCACCCUGACGGAGAGGGUCAACAAGUGUGUGCUGCGGCUGACCUGUCGGCAGAGCGUGUUGCUGCUGUUCGGCGCUCGGCCCGCUGGAUCUCACCACCCUCAGCCCCCGCCGCUGCUCGGCUGCAACCAUUGAGGCAGGACAGCAAGGGUUUAGGCAGGGUAGUAUGGACUGAGGCAGGGUAAUGCGGACUGGGCAAGGCAACCACCCGACACAUAGCGUGUCCCGGUCUAUUGUAUUCUUCUCUUGUGCGGAGACCGCACGUCUGAACCGCUCCUACUCCGCGCUGCACUUGCGCUCCUGACCACCUCCUGGCCACCUGUCGGCAUGCGGCCCCGCACACAGGCGGCAUGAUGACUGCGGACAUGGCGCGGGAACGGGAGCGGCGCGACUGGGAGCGGGACCAGCAGCGCAUCAUGGCGGACGAGGAGGCGGAGGAGCGGAGGCGGAAGCAGAAAGAGGUGCGUCCAACACAAGCGGAGGUCGGGGACCAAUGGCACCAUUGUUGUAUGCUGUUUAACCCGGGUUACCCUAUGCCGGCGAUGCUGCCUGUGAGCAGUUGAUAAGCAGUGCCUAACCUGCGGUGGCACGUCGUCGCAUGCGGUUUGCACAGGCGCUGCUUUGGCUUGUGGGGGCUGUCGGUGGAGGCGCUGCUGCCCGAGGUGACGGUGCCGGUGCCUGAGGUCCUGCGCAGCCGCAGCGAGUGGUGCACCACCUACCUGGAUGAGGACAUGCGGGUGGGGCGCGGCAGCGGCGGCGCGCUGUUCCUGUUCCGGCGCGGCGGCGCGGACGACGUCACCGAGGCGGCGGGCGCCAUGGGCGGCAGCCUGGGUGCGGGCUCCGGCAUGGGCAUGGGCUUGGGCGUGGGCUUGGGCGCGGUGGCUGCGGAUGCCCGCGCGCCGGUGAUGCGGCCGCUGUGAGGCGCGUGGGAGGAGGGGCGGGUGGCAGGAGGGAAGUGGAGCCUGGCGGCCGGCGCCGCGGGUGUGUAGCGGUGUGCCCGUGUGUGUGCGGGUGCGUGUACGUGUACGUGUACGUGUACGUGUACGUGUACGUGUACGUGUACGUGUACGUGUACGUGUACGUGUACGUGUACGUGUACGUGUGUGUGUGUGUGUGUGUGUGUGUGUGUGUGUGUGUACAUGUGUGUGUGUACAUGUGUGUGUACAUGUGUGUGUACAUGUGUGUGUACAUGUGUGUACCUGUGUGUACAUGUGUGUACAUGUGUGUGUGUGUGUGUGUGUUGAGGUGGGCAUGGUGUGGCUGUGUGGGCGAGGAGGAGCACAGCGCUUCCAUCCGGCACUUGUGAGACAUGUCACAAUUUAUCAUCAUUUUAUCGCGGCAGGCAGUCCUAUGCAUGAGCAAUUCAUGGCGGUGCGCAUGGCGUGGAAUGGAGUGAAUUGAUGUUGUCAGGGGGCUGGUUGCAAUGGCCGAUACCGGUACCUGUGGUCCUGUGCGUCUCUGCGUGUCCUGUACAGUGUAUUCCCCCAAAUGGAUAGGGAGGGCAUGGUUGCAGGCCUGGCCAGAUCAGGUGUCUGGGUUUUAUCCCUCGCCUGCGUGUGCGUGCUUGUAUCUAACUGUACCACUUCAAUU
rnacentral:lncRNA from 1 species